UUAUGGCCACAUCACGUUGAAACACCAGUUUCUGUAUGAUGAAUGAAGCUAAGCAGUGUUGACCCUGGUCAGUACCUAGAUGGGUGACUGCUUGGGAAUACCAGGUGCUGUAA